GAUGAAGAACGUAGCGAAAUGCGAUAAGUAAUGUGAAUUGCAGAAUUCAGUGAAUCAUCGAAUCUUUGAACGCACAUUGCGCCCCCUGGUAGUCCGGGGGGCAUGCCUGUCCGAGCGUCAUUACAACCCUCAAGCUCAGCUUGGUGUUGGGCCCCGCCGCCCCGGCGGGCCCUAAAGUCAGUGGCGGUGCCGUCCGGCUCCGAGCGUAGUAAUUCUUCUCGCUCUGGAGGUCCGGUCGUGUGCUCGCCAGCAACCCCCAAUUUUUUUCAGGUUGACCUCGGAUCAGGUAGGGAUACCCGCUGAACUUAAGCAUAUCAAUAAGCGGAGGA
rnacentral:misc_RNA from 1 species